rnacentral:rRNA from 1 species
UACGUAGGGUGCGAGCGUUGUCCGGAAUUAUUGGGCGUAAAGGGCUCGUAGGCGGUUUGUCGCGUCGGGAGUGAAAAACCUUGGGCUUAACUCAGGGCUUGCUUUCGAUACGGGCAGACUAGAGGUAUGCAGGGGGAGAACGGAAUUCCUGGUGUAGCGGUGAAAUGCGCAGAUAUCAGGAGGAACACCGGUGGCGAAGGCGGUUCUCUGGGCAUGAUCUGACGCUGAGGAGCGAAAGUGUGGGGAGCGAACAGG